rnacentral:rRNA from 1 species
AGAUUAAGUUAUUAAGGGCGCACGGUGGAUGCCUUGGCACUAGAAGCCGAUGAAGGACGUUACUAACGACGAUAUGCUUUGGGGAGCUGUAAGUAAGCUUUGAUCCAGAGAUUUCCGAAUGGGGAAACCCAGCAUGAGUUAUGUCAUGUUAUCGAUAUGUGAAUACAUAGCAUAUCAGAAGGCACACCCGGAGAACUGAAACAUCUUAGUACCCGGAGGAAGAGAAAGAAAAUUCGAUUCCCUUAGUAGCGGCGAGCGAAACGGGAAGAGCCCAAACCAACAAGCUUGCUUGUUGGGGUUGUAGGACACUCUAUACGGAGUUACAAAGGACGACAUUAGACGAAUCAUCUGGAAAGAUGAAUCAAAGAAGGUAAUAAUCCUGUAGUCGAAAAUGUUGUCUCUCUUGAGUGGAUCCUGAGUACGACGGAGCACGUGAAAUUCCGUCGGAAUCUGGGAGGACCAUCUCCUAAGGCUAAAUACUCUCUAGUGACCGAUAGUGAACCAGUACCGUGAGGGAAAGGUGAAAAGCACCCCGGAAGGGGAGUGAAAUAGAACCUGAAACCGUGUGCUUACAAGUAGUCAGAGCCCGUUAAUGGGUGAUGGCGUGCCUUUUGUAGAAUGAACCGGCGAGUUACGAUUUGAUGCAAGGUUAAGCAGUAAAUGUGGAGCCGUAGCGAAAGCGAGUCUGAAUAGGGCGUUUAGUAUUUGGUCGUAGACCCGAAACCAGGUGAUCUACCCUUGGUCAGGUUGAAGUUCAGGUAACACUGAAUGGAGGACCGAACCGACUUACGUUGAAAAGUGAGCGGAUGAACUGAGGGUAGCGGAGAAAUUCCAAUCGAACCUGGAGAUAGCUGGUUCUCUCCGAAAUAGCUUUAGGGCUAGCCUCAAGUGAUGAUUAUUGGAGGUAGAGCACUGUUUGGACGAGGGGCCCCUCUCGGGUUACCGAAUUCAGACAAACUCCGAAUGCCAAUUAAUUUAACUUGGGAGUCAGAACAUGGGUGAUAAGGUCCGUGUUCGAAAGGGAAACAGCCCAGACCACCAGCUAAGGUCCCAAAAUAUAUGUUAAGUGGAAAAGGAUGUGGCGUUGCCCAGACAACUAGGAUGUUGGCUUAGAAGCAGCCAUCAUUUAAAGAGUGCGUAAUAGCUCACUAGUCGAGUGACACUGCGCCGAAAAUGUACCGGGGCUAAACAUAUUACCGAAGCUGUGGAUUGUCCUUUGGACAAUGGUAGGAGAGCGUUCUAAGGGCGUUGAAGCAUGAUCGUAAGGACAUGUGGAGCGCUUAGAAGUGAGAAUGCCGGUGUGAGUAGCGAAAGACGGGUGAGAAUCCCGUCCACCGAUUGACUAAGGUUUCCAGAGGAAGGCUCGUCCGCUCUGGGUUAGUCGGGUCCUAAGCUGAGGCCGACAGGCGUAGGCGAUGGAUAACAGGUUGAUAUUCCUGUACCACCUAUAAUCGUUUUAAUCGAUGGGGGGACGCAGUAGGAUAGGCGAAGCGUGCGAUUGGAUUGCACGUCUAAGCAGUAAGGCUGAGUAUUAGGCAAAUCCGGUACUCGUUAAGGCUGAGCUGUGAUGGGGAGAAGACAUUGUGUCUUCGAGUCGUUGAUUUCACACUGCCGAGAAAAGCCUCUAGAUAGAAAAUAGGUGCCCGUACCGCAAACCGACACAGGUAGUCAAGAUGAGAAUUCUAAGGUGAGCGAGCGAACUCUCGUUAAGGAACUCGGCAAAAUGACCCCGUAACUUCGGGAGAAGGGGUGCUCUUUAGGGUUAACGCCCAGAAGAGCCGCAGUGAAUAGGCCCAAGCGACUGUUUAUCAAAAACACAGGUCUCUGCUAAACCGUAAGGUGAUGUAUAGGGGCUGACGCCUGCCCGGUGCUGGAAGGUUAAGAGGAGUGGUUAGCUUCUGCGAAGCUACGAAUCGAAGCCCCAGUAAACGGCGGCCGUAACUAUAACGGUCCUAAGGUAGCGAAAUUCCUUGUCGGGUAAGUUCCGACCCGCACGAAAGGCGUAACGAUUUGGGCACUGUCUCAACGAGAGACUCGGUGAAAUCAUAGUACCUGUGAAGAUGCAGGUUACCCGCGACAGGACGGAAAGACCCCGUGGAGCUUUACUGUAGCCUGAUAUUGAAAUUCGGCACAGCUUGUACAGGAUAGGUAGGAGCCUUUGAAACGUGAGCGCUAGCUUACGUGGAGGCGCUGGUGGGAUACUACCCUAGCUGUGUUGGCUUUCUAACCCGCACCACUUAUCGUGGUGGGAGACAGUGUCAGGCGGGCAGUUUGACUGGGGCGGUCGCCUCCUAAAAGGUAACGGAGGCGCUCAAAGGUUCCCUCAGAAUGGUUGGAAAUCAUUCAUAGAGUGUAAAGGCAUAAGGGAGCUUGACUGCGAGACCUACAAGUCGAGCAGGGUCGAAAGACGGACUUAGUGAUCCGGUGGUUCCGCAUGGAAGGGCCAUCGCUCAACGGAUAAAAGCUACCCCGGGGAUAACAGGCUUAUCUCCCCCAAGAGUUCACAUCGACGGGGAGGUUUGGCACCUCGAUGUCGGCUCAUCGCAUCCUGGGGCUGUAGUCGGUCCCAAGGGUUGGGCUGUUCGCCCAUUAAAGCGGUACGCGAGCUGGGUUCAGAACGUCGUGAGACAGUUCGGUCCCUAUCCGUCGUGGGCGUAGGAAAUUUGAGAGGAGCUGUCCUUAGUACGAGAGGACCGGG